rnacentral:rRNA from 1 species
UACGUAGGCAGCAAGCGUUGUUCGGAAUUAUUGGGCGUAAAUAGUGUGUAGGCGGUGCUCCAAGUCUGUUGUGAAAUCUCCCGGCUUAACUGGGAGGGUGCGGCGGAAACUGGAAUGCUAGAGGGUGGGAGAGGUAAGCGGAAUUCCUGGUGUAGCGGUGAAAUGCGUAGAUAUCAGGAGGAACACCUGUGGUGUAGACAGCUUACUGGACCACUUCUGACGCUGAGACACGAAAGUGUGGGGAUCAAACAGG